CGGGACAUAGCGCAGUCUGGUUAGCGCGCCUGCCUUGGGAGCAGGAAGUCGCAGGUUCGAAUCCUGCUGUCCCGACCA
rnacentral:tRNA from 1 species